ACCUGGCUGGCUCAGUCGGAAGAGCAUGAGACUUUUGAUCUCAGGGUUGUGAGUUCAAGCCCCCAUGGUG
rnacentral:tRNA from 1 species